GUAAAAGUUUUGUUAUCGGCUGC
rnacentral:siRNA from 1 species